rnacentral:RNase_P_RNA from 1 species
AGAGUCGGCCAGACAGUCGCUGUGUGUACGCACAUGGAGGAAAGUCCGGGCUCCAUAGGGCACGGUGCCAGGUAACGCCUGGGGGGCGCGAGUCCACGGAAAGUGCAACAGAAAGAUACCGCCUAAGUACCGCGCAAGCGGUAACGGUAAGGGUGAAAUGGUGCGGUAAGAGCGCACCGCGCAGGUGGCAACACCGGCGGCACGGCAAACCCCACCUGGAGCAAGACCAAAUAGGGAGGCGCGCGGGGCCUUUGACCGCACAUGUGGCCCACAUGAGGCUUCCGGGUAGGUCGCUAGAGCUGCGCGGCGACGCGCAUCCCAGAGGAAUGACUGUCCAAGACAGAACCCGGCUUAACGGCCGACUCUUUUU